CGUAGGUGGCAAGCGUUAUCCGGAAUUAUUGGGCGUAAAGCGCGCGUAGGCGGUUCGUUAAGUCUGAUGUGAAAGCCCCCGGCUCAACCGGGGAGGGUCAUUGGAAACUAGGCGGGACUUGAGUGCAGAAGAGGAGAGUGGAAUUCCAUGUGUAGCGGUGAAAUAGCGCAGAGAUAUGGAGGAACACCAGUGGCGAAGGCGGCUCUCUGGUCUGCAACUGACGCUAAGGUGCGAAAGCGUGGGAUCAAACAGGAUU
rnacentral:rRNA from 1 species